rnacentral:tRNA from 1 species
AGGAUUUUAGUUUAAAAAAAAACAUUUGAUUAGCAAUCAAAACUUAUUAAUUUUUAAUUUAUCUUU